rnacentral:rRNA from 1 species
CAGUAGCCGCGGUAAUACGGAGGGGGCUAGCGUUGUUCGGAAUUACUGGGCGUAAAGCGCACGUAGGCGGCUUGGUAAGUUAGAGGUGAAAGCCUGGAGCUCAACUCCAGAAUUGCCUUUAAGACUGCCGAGCUAGCAGGUGAGAGAGGUAAGUGGAAUUCCGAGUGUAGAGGUGAAAUUCGUAGAUAUUCGGAAGAACACCAGUGGCGAAGGCGACUGACUGGACAAGUAUUGACGCUGAGGUGCGAAAGCGUGGGGAGCAAACAGGAUUAGAUACCCCCGUAGUCCCUGUCUCUUAUAC